rnacentral:tRNA from 1 species
AGUAAAGUCAGCUAAAUAAGCUCUUGGGCCCAUACCCCGAACAUGUUGGUUAAUAUCCUUCCUUUAUUA